CACGUAGGGUGCAAGCGUUGUCCGGAAUCAUUGGGCGUAAAGAGCUCGUAGGCGGCUUAGUAAGUCGGGUGUGAAAACCCCAGGCUCAACCUGGGGACGCCACCCGAUACUGCUAUAGCUAGAGUCCAGUAGGGGAGUGUGGAAUUCCCAGUGUAGCGGUGAAAUGCGCAGAUAUUGGGAGGAACACCAGCGGCGAAGGCGGCACUCUGGGCUGGUACUGACGCUGAGGAGCGAAAG
rnacentral:rRNA from 1 species